rnacentral:rRNA from 1 species
CGAUAUCCGGUGAUCCCGGCUGCCGAGAAAAGCUUCGGCGUGAGGCGGCGUGCCGCCCGUACCCCAAACCGACACUGGUGGUCAGGUAGAGAAUACCAAAGCGAUCGAGCGAAUCCUGGUCAAGGAACUCGGCAAAUCACUCCCGUUCCUUCGGUUUAAGGGAGACCCCCGAUGGUGAAGCGGCUUGCCCGUGGAGCUUUUGGGGGUGGCACAGACCAGGGGGUAGCGACUGUUUACCAAAAACACAGGAGCGUGCGAAGGCGCAAGCCGCUGUAUACGCUCUGACGCCUGCCCGGUGCCGGAAGGUUAAGAGGAUCCGUCAGGCUUCGGCCGAAGCGGUGAAUUCAAGCCCCGGUAAACGGCGGUGGUAACUAUAACCAUCCUAAGGUAGCGAAAUUCCUUGUCGGGUAAGUUCCGACCUGCACGAAUGGCGUAACGACUUCCCCACUGUCUCGACCAGGAGCUCGGCGAAAUUGCAGUACGAGUAAAGAUGCUCGUUAAGCGCAGAAGGACGAAAAGACCCCGGGACCUUUACUAUACCUUGGUAUUGGCAUUCGGUGUGGAUUGUGUAGCAUAGGCGGAAGGCUUCGAAGCCACGGCGCCAGCCGCGGUGGAGCCGCAAGGUGAAAUACCGCUCUGUUCGCAUUGGAUGUCUAACCUCGACCAGUCAUCCUGGUCAGGGACAGUGCCUGGCGGGUAGUUUAACUGGGGCGGUUGCCUCCCAAAGAGUAACGGAGGCGCUCAAAGGUUCCCUCAGCCCGGUUGGCAAUCGGGUGGCGAGUGUAAGUGCACAAGGGAGCUUGACUGCGAGACUGACGGGUCGAGCAGGGACGAAAGUCGGAACUAGUGAUCCGGUGCCGGUGUACGGACGCGGCAUCGCUCAACGGAUAAAAGGUACCCCGGGGAUAACAGGCUGAUCAUUCCCAAGAGUCCAUAUCGACGGGAUGGUUUGGCACCUCGAUGUCGGCUCGUCGCAUCCUGGGGCUGGAGCAGGUCCCAAGGGUUCGGCUGUUCGCCGAUUAAAGCGGCACGCGAGCUGGGUUCAGAACGUCGUGAGACAGUUUGGUCUCUAUCCUCUGCGCUCGUCGGAAUGUUGAGGAGGCCUGCCCAUAGUACGAGAGGACCUGGGUGGACGAACCUCUGGUAUGCCGGUUGUCACGCCAGUGGCACGGCCGGUUGGCUACGUUCGGAAGGGAUAACCGCUGAAAGCAUCUAAGCGGGAAGCCUGCUCCAAGAUAAGCAUUCCAUAGGACUACGGGUCCUUGAAGUCCCCAUGCAGAACACGUGGUUGAUAGGCCGGACGUGGAAGCCCCGCGAGGGGUGGAGCCGACCGGUACUAACGGACGAAAGGCAACACAAC